rnacentral:rRNA from 1 species
GAUGAACGCUGGCGGCGUGCCUAAUACAUGCAAGUCGAGCGAACAGAUGAGUAUCUUGCUCCUCUGACUUUAGCGGCUUACGUGUGAGUAACACGUGGAUAACCUACCUAUAUUUCUUGGAUAACUUCGGGAAACCGGAGCUAAUACCGGUUAAUAUAUUUAACCUCAUGGUUCCAUAGUGAAAGACGUUUUUGCUUUCACUUAUAGAUGGAUCCGCGCCGCAUUAUCUAGUUAGUAAGGUAACGGCUUACCAAGGCAACGAUGCGUAGCCGACCUGAGAGGGGGAUAGGCAAAACUGGAAGUGAAACACGGUACAGAAAACUACGGGAGGAAAAAGAAGGGAAUAUUCAGCAAUGGGCGAAAGAAUGACGGAGCAAAGAAGAGUGAGAGAUGAAGGUAUGCGGAUAGUAAAACUAUGUUAAUAGGGAAGAACAAAUGAGUAAGUAACAAUGCAAGUAUUGACGGUACCAAAACAGAAAGCAAAGGCUAACUACGUG